UACAGAGGUGGCAAGCGUUGUUCGGAAUUACUGGGCGUAAAGGGCGCGUAGGCGGUCUUGCAAGUCCUGUGUGAAAUCCCUCGGCUCAACUGAGGAACUGCACAGGAAACUGCUUGGCUUGAGUUCGGGAGAGGGAAGCGGAAUUCCGGGUGUAGCGGUGAAAUGCGCAGAUAUCAGGAGGAACACCGAUGGCGAAGGCAGCUCGCUGGGACGGUACUGACGCUGAGGCGCGAAAGCGUGGGGAGCGAACAGG
rnacentral:rRNA from 1 species